rnacentral:ncRNA from 1 species
CAGCAGGGGAGCUUGUGUGGCAGGCUGAGAGGAAGCAAAAGCUUCGACCCUUUACCUGAUCCGGGUAAUGCCGGCGGAGGGAGAGGAUU